rnacentral:rRNA from 1 species
UACGUAGGGUGCAAGCGUUAAUCGGAAUUACUGGGCGUAAAGGGCGCGUAGGCGGCCCGCUAAGUCGAACGUGAAAUCCCCGAGCUCAACUCGGGAACUGCGUCCGAUACUGGCGGGCUUGAAUCCGGGAGAGGGAUGCGGAAUUCCAGGUGUAGCGGUGAAAUGCGUAGAUAUCUGGAGGAACACCGGUGGCGAAGGCGGCAUCCUGGACCGGCAUUGACGCUGAGGCGCGAAAGCCAGGGGAGCAAACGGG